GAUGAACGCUGGCGGCGUGCCUAAUACAUGCAAGUCGAGCGAACAGAUGAGGAGCUUGCUCCUCUGACGUUAGCGGCGGACGGGUGAGUAACACGUGGAUAACCUACCUAUAAGACUGGGAUAACUACGGGAAACCGGAGCUAAUACCGGAUAAUAUAUUGAACCGCAUGGUUCAAUAGUGAAAGACGGUUUUGCUGUCACUUAUAGAUGGAUCCGCGCCGCAUUAGCUAGUUGGUAAGGUAACGGCUUACCAAGGCAACGAUGCGUAGCCGACCUGAGAGGGUGAUCGGCCACACUGGAACUGAGACACGGUCCAGACUCCUACGGGAGGCGGCAGUAGGGAAUCUUCCGCAAUGGGCGAAAGCCUGACGGAGCAACGCCGCGUGAGUGAUGAAGGUCUUCGGAUCGUAAAACUCUGUUAUUAGGGAAGAACAAAUGUGUAAGUAACUAUGCACGUCUUGACGGUACCUAAUCAGAAAGCCACGGCUAACUACGUG
rnacentral:rRNA from 1 species